rnacentral:rRNA from 1 species
UUGUUUGGAGAGUUUGAUUCUGGCUCAGGACGAACGCUGGCGGCGUGCUUAACACAUGCAAGUCGAACGGAAAGGCCCUUCGGGGUACUCGAGUGGCGAACGGGUGAGUAACAC